CCUACGGGGGACUGCAGUCGAGAAUCAUUCACAAUGGGGGAAACCCUGAUGGUGCGACGCCGCGUGGGGGAAUGAAGGUCUUCGGAUUGUAAACCCCUGUCAUGUGGGAGCAAAUUAAAAAGAUAGUACCACAAGAGGAAGAGACGGCUAACUCUGUGCCAGCAGCCGCGGUAAUACAGAGGUCUCAAGCGUUGUUCGGAAUCACUGGGCGUAAGGCGUGCGUAGGCUGUUUCGUAAGUCGUGUGUGAAAGGCGCGGGCUCAACCCGCGGACGGCACAUGAUACUGCGAGACUAGAGUAAUGGAGGGGGAACCGGAAUUCUCGGUGUAGCAGUGAAAUGCGUAGAUAUCGAGAGGAACACUCGUGGCGAAGGCGGGUUCCUGGACAUUAACUGACGCUGAGGCACGAAGGCCAGGGGAGCGAAAGGGAUUAGAUACCCGAGUAGUC
rnacentral:rRNA from 1 species